GGUGGCGUGUCCGAGUGGUCUAAGGAGAAUGCCUUGAAAGCAUUUAGGCUCUGCCUGCGUAGGUUCGAACCCUACCGCCAUCG